GUUGGUUUUGAUUUAAUAGUUAUAAACAGAUAAAUAUCUAUAUGAACACUAUGUCCGCACAUGCGGGUAGAACACCUAGUAUAUAUAUAUAUGUAGACUAUAUAUUAAAAAAUCUCAAGUAUUUUGACUAAAGAAAAAUUAAUGUGUGUAUAUAUGUAGACUAAUCAAACAAUAUAGAAUAGAACUGGCAUGAAAUAAUUAAUCCCUAGUUCUAAAAUAAACCUUUUUGUCUUGUCACAUGUUCAAUAAUUUGAUACAUAUCCAUUGUGAUCACUUCACUGCGUGUCAGCACCUACUACUUGCUUCUUCUCUUCUCUUGCUGUGUACAUAGCUUUUUCUUAUGACCAGAGCAAUCUACGUUUUCCACAGCAACUAACCAAAAUCUAAAUUCAUGUUUAUGACCGAGACAUAUCACCAAUUCUCCAUUAUAGUACUAUUACUAUUACCACUUUACUUGCAUUGCAUGCUUCUAGACUGUAAUCCUCAAAGAGAAUGCCAAAAAUUAAAAGGUUUAAACAACGUUAGAUACCUGAGUAAAUGGUUUAACUAGAUGCUUCAUUAAUUUGCUAUAAAGAUUUUGAGCUCUUCUUGUUUGUCGUAGCAUCUUCGGAACCAUUAUUUAAAGAGUUUAGUAUUUGCUAAUUAAUUGAUCUAUUCAUUUCCAGAAUGUUGGAAGUUCCUUAGCAAAGGUGGACACCUUAAAAUCCAUAAAGCCUAUAAUCAUUAAACCUAAUACCUCUUUAAGAAGCGAAUAUUAAAUCUUUUUCUUUUUUUACAUUCUUCUGCACUCAAAACCUAACCCAGAUUUGUAUGGACCUCACACAUUUUCCCAGGAGAAAUGUAGACUACGUAUUCAAAAAAAUGCUUGUUUAGACAAAUGAGAGAGACCAGUGAUUUACCUUCACGCAGGUUUUUAACGAUUACGAUCUUUCAUCUGUCCCAGAAAAAAACAUGACGAAUCCUCGCAAAUCAUCUGACAAACACUGCAUGAUCAAGCAAACCAAAAGCGUCCAUUUAAGCUAGGUCAUCCGUUAUGAUAAUCAUAAUGAAGCACGGGGACGGCUCAAUUCACUGCCGUCUCACGUACCAGCUGCGCUUCCGGGACGGAGACAUGGUACGGUGGGGACGCUGGGGAGACGUUUCAGAGAUGGUGGGGACGGCAAAAGCUUUUGGAGACGUUACGAUCAGUUUAUGGAAACGUUUCCGAUAUGUUUGGGAUGUUGAACAUAAGAGCACCAUUAACCCAAAUACUCAAUUAGGGGUGCUUAUUUUUUUUAAAUAAUUUUAAGUUGUAAAAGUGAUUUAAGAGGCAACGCUAAGAACUCCGAAC
rnacentral:lncRNA from 1 species